rnacentral:misc_RNA from 1 species
UACGGAGGGGGCUAGCGUUGUUCGGAAUUACUGGGCGUAAAGGGCGCGUAGGCGGCGCAUCAAGUCCGGCGUGAAAGUCCUGGGCUCAACCCGGGGACUGCGCUGGAGACUGGUGUGCUCGAGUCCGGGAGAGGAUGGCGGAAUUCCCAGUGUAGAGGUGAAAUUCGUAGAUAUUGGGAAGAACACCGGUGGCGAAGGCGGCCAUCUGGACCGGCACUGACGCUGAGGCGCGAAAGCGUGGGGAGCAAACAGG